UUGGGUUAUAUUUUUUUAAUGUACAAUAAAUGAUACUCUGGGUACUUAGCAUAGGCUAGGCGAUUCCAUUGCAAGACUAGUCUGCAAAAGGCACAGUUCAGUCAUAGUCUAAGUAAACCAAAUCGGUGUAUAUAGUUAUUUUCAGGGGUAGAAAUUAGGUUCUCUGAGCAAAGUACAAUAAGUGUCAAAUAUGAUUUGCAUUAGCCAGCGAAAUCAAAAAAGUUUGAAAUUAUGCUGUGUUCAAGACAACUGGGAACUUGGAAAUCUCCGGCAUCCGACUUCAGUGCAUUCAAGGGCUUGUAUGUAACUAAGCAUUUCACAGUAAGGUCUACCUACACAUAUUGUGUUCGGCGCAUGUGACAAAUACAAUUUGAUUCGAUUUGAUUUGACAACUGGAGCUCUGUGGGGAAAAAAACAAGUAUCCGACUGGGCGUCUAGACUUGACUUGAAAUGUGUCUACCAUGUCCACAUUGUGUCCGUUCCCGCACUAUAUUAAAAUGCCAAUAUGGGUUCUAAAAACAGUGGAGUAGGUAAAAUAUAACACAACAACAACUGACGGCAGUAGCUAACUACUGUAGCUAAGUAGCCAGCUAACCUCUGUAGCUAGCUAGCAAGCAACGCUAAAGGGAAUGAGCUAGCAUAACUCUAGCCAAAUAAAAAAUAGUUUUUCUAAAUAUUAGCAAGCUGGCUAGAAUUUAAGAGGCUGGAAAACACAUUCCCCACACGCUAGGAAAGUAUUUCCUCCAACUUAAUAAUGAAAAGUGCUGAUGACGUCACCCACUGCAUGCACUUUCGGUAGCUUGAUUGCAUCCAGCCUGCGGAGAAACCCGCACACAAUGCAUCCCUGACCACCACCCGAAGUGGUCAGACAGAUCUAAACAGAAUCAGACCACGACGCAACUUUUUUUUUGCAUCUAGACCUGUAUUUUCAAUGCAAUCUUCUUAUUCUGAUAGCAGAAGUCCCACGUAAGUGUCAAGUGUAGACAAGACAGGGCUCUGAAAUCACUGAAGUCACUAUUUGACCUCAUUCUUUUCUGAGUUUCCAGUUGUCUUGAAAGCAUCAUAUCUCUAGACUAUAUAAUUGUGAUUCUCAUAACUAUUGCAAUUUAUUUGGUUUAAUAGUCAUAUAGUUUCUGAUAAUUAAAUGUGUUGGAAGCCGCUUACCUUUUCUUCAUCCAUAUUUGUGUUUAAUUGCUCAUGUGACUUUCCGGUGUCUGAUGUAAUCGAUUGUGAUGGACAGUAGGAAAAACUCCUCCUGGACAUAUUAAAAUGUCAUGUAUGUUGUACAUGACGUUAUAGAUGUGUGUGUGUUGAUGAGGCCCAAUAAUUGCUAUCUAACAUUUAUAAUAACGUUUUGUCCCAGCAUCUAUACGAAUGGUGUGCUGGUAUUUAAAUAAAAACAACAACAUAUGUUUAAUGCCAAACAAGAUAAUAUCCACAUGACCUUACUUCAACCGAUAAGGAAAAGCAAAAAGCUAAAGAGAGGAAGUCACAAACUAUUUAGACGUAACCCCGUUUCCAAAGGUUUAUGCCUCUCCAGUGCUUUCCUUUAGUUUACGUGACACACCAGAGAGGGGUCACACCACAUUCAUUCAGUGAGCUAAAGGCAAACGGAAAGCUCUGCUCCAUACCACGGGAAAAAAAUGUGCGUGGCAAAAAAAUAAGAAUUAUCCGACAUCCGAAGAAUAUAAAGCAGUUAGUUAGCUAAAUGGUUGUGAGAAGCUAAGCCAAGUGGUUCAGAAAAUAUUCAAACCCUAUCUUAUGGCGAAAUAUUGUUUACUGGCCAGGACAGCUUGCCGUGAUGUUUUGUUGACAAUCAAUGCAUAACAUUUAAGACGUUAAAACCACGUUUUUCCGCACCUGCUAGCCAGCUAAUUGGAAAGUUCCCCAAGUGAGUGAGGAAAUGGACCCUACAUCAAGAUUUACAGGUGCUGAUCUCCCUCUAUCCUCCCUACAUCUCCUGGUGCCACCACUAUGUCUGAAGUCUGCUUUCAUGUGGCAAGUGGCUCAGCAGCAUGACGUGAUGCAGUAUGGGAAGCUGGAGGAGUUUGUGACUGGUAACUAGAGAUGGUUCCGGAGCUGCUGACCUUAAGGCAGAGGGUCCAACUCAUCCUGGGACUGAGAGCGAGGAGCAAAGAUAAAGAAGUGGAGGCAUCAACAGAUAACUUUGUGGAGUUGGUCCAAACACUGCUAGAAGACCCAACAAAGAGGGAACACUUCAGUACAGCUCUAGGUAUGGUACAGCGCUGCAGAUACUGGUGUGGCAGUUCUUUGACAGACUGGAGGAGAUGCUGCCAGUGCUCAACUUUACACAGUACUGAUGCCACUCACAGGAGACAACAUCUAUUCUCAACCUGACCCCUACUGACCUGGAGGAGUGUGAGCAGUCUGUCUCUGUCUCUGUCUCUGACCCUGACCCAGAGCAUCUGAAGACACUGCUGCAGCAUCAUAGACAUCCUGGGCACCUUAAAGAAGAUGUUCUCUUCUACGAUUCUGAUACCAUCCUGUCCACGUUGUUCCUCCUCGUUCCCUCACUGGAGUCUAAACCGACCCAGAGAGGUGGAGGAAAGGGCAGGGUGAAGACAGUGAUGUGACAACAGAAGGGGGGAAGAACAAGGCUGGUGAGAAGGGACAGCAAGAAGUCAGCGGGGAAGAUGAAGACACCAAUGAGGAAAGUGAAGAGGACACUAAAAGACUGGAAGAGUCUGGGAACUCUGGGCAGCAGAAACGGCCAUUAUCAGGGGCCGUCAAUGGUAUUGAGAUUAAGGACAGAAUACUUUGCAUAGAUACUGAGUAUACAAAACAUUUAAGAACACCUGACUGACCUAUGAAAAAAGCUAUGAUUUCUUAUUGAUGUCACUUGUUAAAUCCAGUUCCAUCACUGUAGAUAAAGGGGAGAUGGGUUAACUUAUUUGGGACUGGGGGGCAGUAUUGAGUAGCUUGGAUGAAUAAGGUGCACAGAGUAAACUACCUGCUAUUCAGGCCCAGUUGCUAAUAUCUGCAUAUUAUUGGUAUAUUUGGAUAGACAUUCUGUAGUUCCUAAAACUGUUUGAAUGAUGUCUGUGAGUAUAACAGAACUCAUAUGGCAGGCAAAAACUUGAGAAAAAAAUCCAACCAAGAAGUGGGAAAUCUGAGGUUUGUAGUUUUUCAACUCGUGCCCUAUUGAAGAUACAGUGGUCAAAUUGCACUUCCUAAGGCUUCCACUAGAUGUCAACAGUCUUUAUAAUCUUGUUUGAGGCUUCCACUGUGAAGUGGGGGCUCAUAAGGGCUGUUUGAGCCAGGUGUCUGGCAGAGUGCCAUGAGCUCGUGACGCACGUUCACGUGAGAGUUAGCUUACGCUCCAUUGCUUUUCUACAGACAAAGGAAUUCUCUGGUUGGAACAUUAUUGAAGAUUUAUGAUAAAAACAUCCUAAAGAAUGAUUCUAUAUUUUUUGUUUGACAUGUUUCUACAAAUUGUAGUAUAACUUUUCGUCUGAACUUUCGCAUGGAUUUGCCUGCGCGUGGUGAUUUUGGAUUGUGUACUAAACGCGGAAACAAAGAGUUAUUUGGACAUAAAUGAGGGACUUUAUCAAACAAAUCAACCAUUUAUUGUGGAACUGGGAUUCCUGGGAGUGCAUUCUGAUGAUCAUCAAAGGACAAGCUAAAGCCGAGCCCCCACAGUCCCAGGGCUUCUCCUGCUCACAGUGUCAAUUCUCUGACAGACAAUGGACUACCCUCCAAGAGCAUGUCAGGAAGAACCAUCUGAAUGAGGACAGCAGGAUCCUGGGCUCUGGAGAAGCUGGAGCUGAGAACAACUCUGCCUGUCAGUGAGAAAGAGAACUCCUCAGCCAAGAAGACCAUGGAGAACAGGUACAUUUGUUCCCAGUGGGAAGGGUCACAAAAACUAAUCUGACCUGAGACACAUUUUUUUUAAACCUUUAUUUAACUAGGCAAGUCAGUUAAGAACAAAUUCUUAUUUUCAAUGACGGCCUUGGAACAGUGGGUUAACUGCCUGUUCACGGGCAAAACGACAGAUUUGUACCUUGUCAGCUCAGGGAUUUGAACUUGCAAGCUUUCGGUUACUAGUCCAACGCUCUAACCGCUAGGCUACCCUGCCGCCGAUAUGAAACAGUUCACUCUUGAGGCAAAACCGUUCCAUUGUGACCAGUGUGAGAAGAGGUUCCAAUCAAAUGUGGCUCUGAAAUAGCACCAUCGAGUUCACACUGGAGAAAGGCCAUACGUUUGCUCACAUUGUGGCAGGGGCUUUAGGAACACAGGUCUUGAAAUCACAUGUACACAUUCACACUGGGGAGCGACCUUUUGUCUGUUCCAUCUGUGGGAAGGGAUGAAACCAACAGCGAAUACUAGUUCUUGUACCGUUUUUGGAAAUAUUGUUUCGUACCUCAGGUGCCUUGUUUGGCGGAUCCACACGCGCGGGCGGACGUUCUCCUGCACAGUGUGUGACAAAUGCUUCACCUCCCACAGCGAUCUUAGCAGACACAAGCAAAUUCAUACAUGAGAGAAACCUUACAAGUGUAGAAUGUUCACUGAAAGUGGCAACCUGAAAGUACACCAGCGGGUUCAUCUGGAAAAAGCCACAUUUACAGGUUUCAGUGAGUAAUAUCAGUACGGUCCACCACCAGUCACCAAGUGUGGCUGUUUUUUUUGUUACCUCCUUUUUCUCCCCAAUUUCGUGGUAUCCAAUUAUUAGUAGUUACUGUCUUGUCUCAUCGCUGCAACUCCGAAACACAACCCAACUAAGCUGCACUGCUUCUUAACACAACGCACAUCCAACCCGGAAGCUCGCCAGGUUGGAGGAGGCAGGUUGGAGGAAGAAACAGCCGGGUGUGUCGGAGAACACUGUACACCUAGCGACCUGGUCAGUGUGCACUGCGCCCGGCCCGCCACAGGGGUCGCUAGUACGCGAUGAGACAAACCCUCCCGACCAAACUAGGACGACACUAGGCCAAUUGUGCGUCGCCCCAUGGACCUCCCGGUCGCAGCCGGCUGCGACAGAGCCUGGGCUCGAACCCAGAAAAUCAAAUCAAAUUGUAUUUGUCACAUACACAUGGUUA